rnacentral:rRNA from 1 species
CUAUUUAUAACGGCGGCAUUUAUUCUUAUUAGAGGAACUUGUUUUUUAAUCGAUAAUCCCCGAUAAUUUUCACUUUUUUACAAAAUUUAUAUACCGCCAUCUAAAGAAUUAAUUUUAUAAUAUUAUUCCAAAUAAAAAAUAAAAAGUUAGGUCAAGGUGUAAUCUAUAUCUAAGACAAAAAUGAGUUACAUUAAAAAUAAUUUAAGAAUAUCGUUAUAUUAAAACAAUUGAAAAAGGAUUUAAAAGUAAUAUCAAAAUAAUAUUUUAUUAUGAAUUAGACAAA